rnacentral:rRNA from 1 species
GAUGAACGCUGGCGGCGUGCCUAAUACAUGCAAGUCGAGCGAACGGACGAGAAGCUUGCUUUUCUGAUGUUAGCGGCGGACGGGUGAGUAACACGUGGAUAACCUACCUAUAAGACUGGGAUAACUUCGGGAAACCGGAGCUAAUACCGGAUAAUAUUUUGAACCGCAUGGUUCAAAAGUGAAAGACGGUCUUGCUGUCACUUAUAGAUGGAUCCGCGCUGCAUUAGCUAGUUGGUAAGGUAACGGCUUACCAAGGCAACGAUGCAUAGCCGACCUGAGAGGGUGGUCGGCCACCAUGGAACUGAGACACCGUCCAGACUCCUACGGGAGGCAGCAGUAGGGAAUCUUCCGCAAUGGGCGAAAGCCUGACGGAGCAACGCCGCGUGAGUGAUGAAGGUCUUCGGAUCGUAAAACUCUGUUAUUAGGGAAGAACAUAUGUGUAAGUAACUGUGCACAUCUUGACGGUACCUAAUCAGAAAGCCACGGCUAACUACGUG